rnacentral:rRNA from 1 species
UACGGGGGGAGCAAGCGUUGUUCGGAUUUACUGGGCGUAAAGGGCGCGUAGGCGGUCAGCACAAGUCAGUUGUGAAAUCUCCGGGCUUAACUCGGAAAGGUCAACUGAUACUGUGCGACUAGAGUGCAGAAGGGGCAACUGGAAUUCUCGGUGUAGCGGUGAAAUGCGUAGAUAUCGAGAGGAACACCUGCGGCGAAGCGGGUUGCUGGGCUGACACUGACGCUGAUGCGCGAAAGCCAGGGGAGCGAACGGG